rnacentral:rRNA from 1 species
UGCUAACGCGUGAAGGCGAGCACUCUAGACGAACUGCCGUUGACAAAACGGAGGAAGGUGGGGAUGACGUCAAAUCAUCAUGCCCCUUAUGUUCUGGGCUACACACGUGCUACAAUGGCCGGUACAGACGGACGCAAAGCCGCGAGGUGGAGCAAAUCCUAAAAAGCCGGUCUCAGUUCGGAUUGCAGGCUGCAAUUCGCCUGCAUGAAGUCGGAAUCGCUAGUAAUCGCAGGUCAGCAUACUGCGGUGAAUACGUUCCCGGGCCUU